CCAAGGCGUUCCCCACAUGAUGAGAUUCUGUGAUUGUUACUGGCUCCUUAAUUAUUUGUUAAAUCAGGUUUUUCUUAUCAAGUACGUCAUCUUACUCACCAUUUUGGCUAUAUCAGAAUUUGCUAAUACCAUGAUGUCAAAGCAAGCUCAAGCACUAGAUCCCUACUAAUAAUGCAUUGCAUUUUCAUUUUAUUUUUAGGUUGACUUUGAAGACCCUAUGAAGAACAUUGGGGUAAUCAAGGAUUAGUCUGGUGAUGGAACUUCCACUGUGGUGUUGUGUGCAACGUUCAGUUGCUGGACUUUGAAGAAGAAAGUGAUGGCCAGGUCCGCUCUGUUUCAAUUGAGGAUGGAUAGCUGCCUNNNN
rnacentral:lncRNA from 1 species